UAUUUAUGUGUUUAGAAUGACAGGUUAUGCAGACAGAAUUGAACAAUUCAUCUCAACUGAACAGUUUAUAGUUCAGAUUUCUGUACAGAUGUAGAAACAGCAACUGAGGCCAGGUUAACAUCCAGCAGAUGUAAAUAUAGUAGAUUUAAGUAGUGGCAUCUGCAUGGCAUCAGGGAGAACUGAGUAGGAAGGGUGGUGCAUGUGAAUUCACCUGGCAUGACAAGUGGUGACUUGUAGGUUUUAAUUAUCUUUAAGGGAUUACCAUGUCCUCACAUUCAUGAGCAAUACAAAAAGGAUUGCAGUCAUGUAGAUUUUAAGUCUCAAGUUCAGCUUGAGAAAGGGUUACAGGAUUUUAGAAGGAAAUUAAUUACAUUUCUUCCCAGCCACACUCACUUCUCAUUAACAUUUUCAUAAUUUUCUUGUGUCAUGGGACCAAAUGGACUACAAAUGUGGACACAACAAUUCUUCCAGGGGUUUUUUGAGGACUGCUCUGGGUUGCUUGAAGUUCAACACGUCAGUACUUGACCGAAUCUUCCAUGGAAUCAUUCUGAAUAUGGACAGUACUCAAAGGAUUGACUUUGUUGGUACUGACAGGCUGAAUGGAGACAAGACGAGGACUCUGCAAUCGCUCCUGUAGGAAUCAAAGUUAUGGCAACUAAGCUGAACUGGAAAGAUAUUACAAAAUACUGAACUAAAAGGUUGAAGGAGACCAAAACAGCUACAACCAGUACUGCAGGGAAGACUACCUAAGAUUUAAAUGACAAAAUAGUGAUUAUACACAUUAACUGUCACAGAUGAAGCAAUGAGAGCAAUAUGUUUUAGCAGUACAACACAGAACUGUACAAAACUGUGGUGGUCCUCAUUGGGUUGUCAUCUUUGAUCAAUGUAGAGAUCACACACAAUUUGGAUAUUAUUUAAAAACUCUUUUUAGUUUCAGUGGAAGCAACUGACAAGAAAAAGAUUCAACAACACAUGGCAUACCAGACACUCCUUUUACACAGCCGUGUAUUUCCAAUCACUCUUCAACAAGAGAACUGGAUUAAUUGUGCAAGAAAUACAACUCGACAUCACAGGUUAGACUCAUACAACAAGUAGAGCCGUCUCCUCCAGUCCAGUGUGAGACCAACCCCACUGGUUUGAAUGGAGUUGUGUUGUAUGAUAAUGAAAAUUAUCCCAUAACGUCUGAUAGGAACCACCAACCUAGAGGUCAGAAUUCAUCUUGGGACAAUUUAACUGCUGCUGGAUUGGACCGGCAGCGGAGCUCAGAAGAAAUACGACACCAGGAGGAGAGCCUGUGGUUUCAGCCCUAUGGACCCUUGACAUCUGAUCGGAGAUAUGAUGUACAACUAAGUCAUCGUUCAGUUUUCCUGAAUGACCCCAGGUGGUGUCCGAAUGGUCCAUUGGUGGCAAUUAUACUGCUCCUCCUCCUUCUCCUUAUACUUAUAAUGGUCUUUUUUUUUGCCAUAGAUAAUAAAAAAAAUUUGCUUUAAAUAAACGCAUUUUGACAUUUCUUCACUGGAAGACUGGGCUCGCUUUCCUGGAACAAUUUUAAAAUGAUGAGAUCCUGUUUAGACAGCAGGGAUUCUUUUGUCACUAUUGUGAAUAUAAUUCAAAGUGCAUGCCCUUGACCUGUUAGGCCCCACAAGGAUUACUUGAUGGCCCCCUGCUGUUAAACCUGUACAUGCACCCACUUGUUCACAUUUUUCACAGCAACAACCUUGCUUAUCACAAUCUUUGACAUUUUGCCGAUGACAUCCAGAUUUACCUAGCUCUGUCACAAAAGACUCCGGUCCUAUGGAAAAGCAUUGUGCAAGGUUGCUGCUGUCUUAGAGGACAAGGCAAUGCAACCUAAAAGAAGGCUGCUUA